CAGCAGCCGCGGGAAUACGAAGGGUGCAAGCGUUACUCGGAAUUACUGGGCGUAAAGCGUGCGUAGGUGGUGGUUUAAGUCCGUUGUGAAAGCCCUGGGCUCAACCUGGGAAUUGCAGUGGAUACUGGGUCACUAGAGUGUGGUAGAGGAUAGUGAAAUUUCCGGUGUAGCAGUGAAAUGCGUAGAGAUCGGGAGGAACAUCAGUGGCGAAGGCGGCCAUCCGGGACAACACUGACGCUGAGGCACGAAAGCGUGGGGAGCAAACAGGAUUAGAUACCCGGGUAGUCCCUGUCUCUUAUAA
rnacentral:rRNA from 1 species